CUCCAGCGCUCAGCCCCUGCCCCGCGCCCAGACCUUCGUGAAAGAAGAUGCCUGCGACCCAGAGCGUGGCGAGGAACAACGGGAAGUACUCGCUGCAGUUGACUCUGCGGUGGGCGCGCGGUGGCGUAAGGUCAAAUUAAGUCUUGAUACAUCUCAAUAAAAUUUCUUUGACAAAAGGAAAAACAAAAAGGAGAAAGGAGAAACACACAUCAGUUCUCACCAACCAGUUCCCUAAAUUGCCAGGAUCUGUAAAAUAAAGAAGCCUCAGUGCGGGCGGCGGCCUGGCUCUUACCUAGUAGUGUGACUGCCUGUGUCGGAGCCAGAGCUCUUUGAAGUGGAUGCCUUGGCACCAAACUCAAGUCAUGCACGUGCAUUAUCAAAAUAAAAAGCCAACUCUUAGAGUUUAAACCACAUUCCGUAAGCUGGGCCUGGACCAAGAUGCCGUUUAUUGUGUGGCCCUCUACUUCCCUAACCUAGGAACCACGAAGACAUGGCUUCCCCAGGCAUCACUGUCAACUCAGACCCCAUAUCCAAGCGCCAAAAGGACAGCUAGGUAUUCCUCUUCUCCGGGGUCAGGUCUUCUGUGUAAAUGGCUGCCGGUCUUUUGGGAAAAGACAGGCAUCUCAUGACUGCAUGCGCUGCAGCCAGUGGCUUGCAGAGGACCCUCCUGCAUGGGAUCUGGCUUCUCCUUAGCCAAGGGGGAUCUCAUCGUCUAAGACACUGGGUGAAAAGGGUUCCUGGAACCCAUUCCAAUGUGAGCGUAUGGGGCUUUCCACACCUGCCAGCAGAUCUCCGCAGGGUGUCUGAGGUCUCAACACAGCGCCUUACACGGUCUAUAGGGCAUCAGAUUCCACAGCUCUCCAGCGGUCAAGCCCUCCAUCCUGGUUCUCAUCAUGAUAACUGCCUCCACCUGGCUC